UGCGGUGCCGAGAACACAAGCGCGGUCCACGCGACUGAAGCCGGUUAGGGCCCCUUCAUCCGCUUUGAACGUUUGGUGUUAUGGCGGGUGCGGGGGUCCGUUCGUCUUGCUGCUGCCCGGGUGGAGCCUCGAGCCUCCUCUGCAAGGUACCUGACACAGUAUUUUAACAGGCCAUGGAAGUAGUCUGAGUUCAAGUCUCAACUCUGCAAUUACUUGUCAUUAAGUAGGCUCUGAGCCGUAUUUCCUCACCUAUAAAACGGGAACACCACCUGGUUGUUUCGCCUCCCGAGGUUUCACUUAUCCGCCGUCAACCACCAUGAAGAAGCAGACGAUCGUCCUUCUGAUGGAUCAUCAUCAGGUCAACAGUAACCUAAGGCUACGUCACAUGCCUACGUCACUCACCUCCCUCCAUCUCAUCACCCAGACGUGUUACCAUCUCACAUCAUCACUGGAACAAGAAGGGUUUCAUAAAGAGAAAAUUAUUGUUCCACUGCCUGUGGUGAGGAGACCAAGAAGAACAAGAUAGAAGAGGAACAGACUGAAUUUAGAGGAACCCUGUGAUCACCUGGAAAUAAAAGAAAGCAGUCCGAUGAGGUCUACAAUGAUUGUGGUGAUUGCUGCUGAUUCAAAUCUUGCCAAAGGAGUAUGAGGAAUAGCUUCUCUUCUUGGUUUGCUAUAAACCUGGUUUCUAGACACUCACAGUGUGAAUAUUUUAUAGGCCUUAAAAUCCAACAGUAUGAAUUAUUCAGAGAUGUAAGUACUUCUGGAAAAGACGUUUAUAUACUUUAUCUCAGGGAAGGCUUAUUUGCCUUCUGACCUAUAAAUCACAUAUAACAAGAAUAAAAUGUAGUAAGUACAACCAACUGUGGUGAAAGGCUUAAAUCUAAAACCAAAGUAAAGGACAGGGAGCAUAGAUUUUUUUCAAGAGACUUUAAUUUUAUAACUAUAUAAUCUCCCCCAGUAAUAUCCUUGUUAACAACUUUUAAUUAUUCACAGUGUGGGUUAUUGGCAAAUCCUCCCCUCCACUACUUCUCUAUACAGUUGAUUUGCAGACUGAAAUAGCCAAUCCUAGAUCCAUACAUCCAAUUACCUGCAAGACAUCCCCUGGCUGUCUCAAAGUCACCUCAAAAAUCAACAUAUCGGGACCUGAGUUCAUGAUCUCCUCCUCCAAACCUGACCCCCUUCUGGGAUUCCCUACAAUGAAUGAAUCAUCACUCAUCCAGCUUUACGAGCUAGAAACCCAGGUGUCAUCCCUGCUUUUUCUUUCUUCCCUCUCACAUCCAGUGCAUCACCUGAGUAUGCCUCCUAAGUUUGCUCCACCUCCACCACCUGACCCGAGUACUGUCCAACUACCACCGCCUCCCAACUGAUACAGCCACAUCCACUCCUGCCCCCAUCAAUAUGUCCUCCAUACUGCAGCUGGAAUGACUUUUGUUAAAAAGGCACAAAUCUGGUAUUUCCCUCCUGCUUAAAACUUUAAAAAUUUCCCUCUCAUUUAAGAUAAAGACAGAAGUCUAUAGUACAGCCCAGUCCUUACUGGUCCCAGCUUCCUCUUAUAACACUCUGUCUCUUUCCUACAGGUAUCCUGGUUUCUCUUUAGUACCUCAUACUUGCUCAUCACCUCAUCUAGAACCUGCACACCUCUGUGUGAUACCUCUCCAUUCCUAGCUCACUUCGUUAACGUCUACUCCACUACAGAGGUCAGCUUAGCUAUCACUUUUUCACUCAGCUUUCCCUUCCUCAUUAAAUGUUUAUUUACAAUGCCUAUUACAUACCAGGUACUGGACACAUAAUAUACAUCAAUGAACAGA